UACGAAGGGGGCUAGCGUUGCUCGGAAUUACUGGGCGUAAAGGGCGCGUAGGCGGAUGUUUAAGUCAGCGGUGAAAGCCCAGGGCUCAACCUUGGAACUGCCAUUGAUACUGGACAUCUUGAGUACGGGAGAGGUGAGUGGAACACCGAGUGUAGAGGUGAAAUUCGUAGAUAUUCGGUAGAACACCAGUGGCGAAGGCGAUUCACUGGCCCGUUACUGACGCUGAGGCGCGAAAGCGUGGGGAGCAAACAGG
rnacentral:rRNA from 1 species